rnacentral:piRNA from 1 species
UACCACACCUGUCUUUUCUGACUACCUGGGU